CUUCGUGGUUUUCGUCUUUCAUUAAAAAGAAGUAUUCACAUCACGCUGCGCUUUGGUCUCCUCACUAUGACGAUCGUGACACUUGGUCAGGGGUAGAACUACAGAUUUUUACCUUGUCAGGUCGGGGAUUCGAUCUUCGAACGUUACUGGCCCGAAGCUCUAACCACUAGGCUACCUGCCACCCCAGGUAGCUGGCUAUGAAGAGGAACUACUGUCUAACUUUAGAUGUGGCUGCAGGAGAGUAGUGGUGGACAACACUGGAGGGCAUCUACACUGGGCACAUGUGUGACAUGUAGAAAAUUUGGUAGUAUGUCCACCCGGCCUCACAACCGCAGACCACGUGUAACCACACCAGCCCAGGACCUCCACAUCCGGAUCCUUCAGCUGCCGGAUUUUCAGAGUGCAGUCAACCAGACAGCUGAUGAAACUGUGGGUUUGCACAAACAAAGAAUUUCUGCACAAACUUUCAGACACCGCCUCAUAGAAGCGAAUCUGCGUGCUCGUUGUCCUCACCAGAUUCUUGAUGUGACUGCAGUUUGGCAGUCGCGUCAACAGGUGUGGCAUAUCAAGGAGCUGAUUAAAAGCAUGAUUAUUACACAAGUGCUUACA